AGGCACGCUGACACGUAGGUGAAGUGAUUUACUCAUGGAGCUGAAGUCAGUCGAAGAUACCAGCUGGCUGCAACUGUUUAUUAAAAACACAGCACUGUGCAAACACGAAAGUGGACGUAUACGGUGUGACGCCUGCCCGGUGCCGGAAGGUUAAUUGAUGGGGUCAGCGCAAGCGAAGCUCCUGAUCGAAGCCCCGGUAAACGGCGGCCGUAACUAUAACGGUCCUAAGGUAGCGAAAUUCCUUGUCGGGUAAGUUCCGACCUGCACGAAUGGCGUAAUGAUGGCCAGGCUGUCUCCACCCGAGACUCAGUGAAAUUGAACUCGCUGUGAAGAUGCAGUGUACCCGCGGCAAGACGGAAAGACCCCGUGAACCUUUACUAUAGCUUGACACUGAACAUUGAGCCUUGAUGUGUAGGAUAGGUGGGAGGCUUUGAAGUGUGGACGCCAGUCUGCAUGGAGCCGGCCUUGAAAUACCACCCUUUAAUGUUUGAUGUUCUAACGUGGACCCGUGAUCCGGGUUGCGGACAGUGUCUGGUGGGUAGUUUGACUGGGGCGGUCUCCUCCUAAAGAGUAACGGAGGAGCACGAAGGUUGGCUAAUCCUGGUCGGACAUCAGGAGGUUAGUGCAAUGGCAUAAGCCAGCUUGACUGCGAGCGUGACGGCGCGAGCAGGUGCGAAAGCAGGUCAUAGUGAUCCGGUGGUUCUGAAUGGAAGGGCCAUCGCUCAACGGAUAAAAGGUACUCCGGGGAUAACAGGCUGAUACCGCCCAAGAGUUCAUAUCGACGGCGGUGUUUGGCACCUCGAUGUCGGCUCAUCACAUCCUGGGGCUGAAGUAGGUCCCAAGGGUAUGGCUGUUCGCCAUUUAAAGUGGUACGCGAGCUGGGUUUAGAACGUCGUGAGACAGUUCGGUCCCUAUCUGCCGUGGGCGCUGGAGAACUGAGGGGGGCUGCUCCUAGUACGAGAGGACCGGAGUGGACGCAUCACUGGUGUUCGGGUUGUCAUGCCAAUGGCACUGCCCGGUAGCUAAAUGCGGAAGAGAUAAGUGCUGAAAGCAUCUAAGCACGAAACUUGCCCCGAGAUGAGUUCUCCCUGAGACUUUAGGUCUCCUGAAGGAACGUUGAAGACGACGACGUUGAUAGGCCGGGUGUGUAAGCGCAGCGAUGCGUUGAGCUAACCGGUACUAAUGAACCGUGAGGCUUAACCUU
rnacentral:rRNA from 1 species